UACGAAGGGGGCGAGCGUUGUUCGGAAUUACUGGGCGUAAAGGGCGCGCAGGCGGCCUUAUAAGUCAGAUGUGAAAGCCCCGGGCUCAACCUGGGAAUGGCAUUUGAUACUCUGAGGCUGGAGUACGGGAGAGGAGAGUGGAAUUCCCAGUGUAGAGGUGAAAUUCGUAGAUAUUGGGAAGAACACCGGUGGCGAAGGCGGCUCUCUGGACCGUAACUGACGCUGAGGCGCGAAAGCGUGGGGAGCAAACAGG
rnacentral:rRNA from 1 species